UACGUAGGUGGCAAGCGUUGUCCGGAUUUAUUGGGUGUAAAGGGUGCGUAGGCGGCUUUGUAAGUCAGUGGUGAAAUAUGGCAGCUCAACUGUGAGGGUGCCAUUGAUACUGCAGAGCUUGAGUACAGAUGAGGUAGGCGGAAUUGACGGUGUAGCGGUGAAAUGCUUAGAUAUCGUCAAGAACACCGAUAGCGAAGGCAGCUUACUGGGCUGUAACUGACGCUGAGGCACGAAAGUGUGGGGAUCAAACAGG
rnacentral:rRNA from 1 species